GACCCUCCCAAAAGCUUGAUAAAUCUACCCGCCGAGAUCCAUCAAGAUUUGAGUAUGUAGUAUCCGCACAGGAUAAUCAUUCUCCAGACAUUAUGUCUUCAAGUACAACUACAAAAAAACCAAAAGGGUAACGAAAAAUGAGUGUUUCUCAAACAAAAGCACCAAAGCAUGCUUCUUAUAUUGAUUCAUUUCCAUUUGGUUUGAGGCCUUAUAUUUGUGGUGUUAGAGAUGUUGCUGCAGAUGGUAAUUGUGGUUUUCGGGCAGUGGCUGACCUAAUAGGUAUUGGUGAAGAUAACUGGGCACAAGUCAGGAAAGACUUAGUUGUUGAGUUGCAAAGUCACUUUAAUGAUUAUAAAAGAGUCUUUGAAUAUGCUGGUAGAGCAGAGGAGGUACUUCAUUCACUUUUAUACUUUGAGAAUAACCCAGGGAGAGAGUAUUGGAUGACCAUGCCUGAAAUUGGUCAUAUUAUUGCUUCUAAAUAUAAUGUGGUAUUACUACAUAUAUCAGAUGUGCUGAAUCUAACAUUCCUUCCACUUAGAUCUAUUCCAUUAUCACGUUCCUUGCAUAAAAUCAUUGCUAUUGGAUUUGUUAAUAGAAAUCAUUUCAUAGAGGUAUGUAAAAGUUUAGAAAUUCAAAGUAUGCUGCAAUAUCUUAAUUAUUGGACUAAUUUUUCUAUGGCUUUUUUUUUUUGCAGGUGUUCAUGCUUCUAGCUUCACCUAUUCCUCCUAUUGCGAAUAGUUGGAUCAAAUAUCAUGAACCAUGUGCAGAAGGCUGGGCAACACCAUACAAAACUAAUAUAAUUGCUUUUAACGAUUUGGUGUUUGAAGUUACCACACAAGAAACAAUUGAUCUAGCUAGUCAAUGAUAGUAUUAGAAAAAUUUGAACCAUUUUAAUAGUCAUUUUAUUCGUUUCAUAUUUUUAAAGAAAGACUUUGUAAAAGCUGGAAUUCUUUAUUUUAUUGUUACUCAAGAUGACAACCUGUCUCUACUCUUUUUGUUAUUAUUAUUAUUUUUUUAACAUUUCCGAGUUUACUCCAACUAUAAACUAAUUUAUGAAUUAUGAUCUACAUACUAUAAAUUUAAGUAAUGCUACAAUUGACUGUAAAUAUUAAAAUAUCAGUAGAAAAAUGAAAAAUAACUUGAUUAAGAGACAAAAUGAAUAGUACCUGAAAUUGAAAUUCAACAUUUUAAAAAUUAAGAAAGUUACUUUUUCAUCUUAUUUUCUGGUGAGGAAUUAUCGGCAUAUGCAACUCAUCAUCAACAAGCUUCAGGAAGAAACCGAGACCCAUGAGGAAAAUUAAGAAAGAAGAAAGUAAUUAUGAAGCAAAGGACGAGCUGAACGAUCAUCGAAAUUAUUUUCUCACCGACAUGUUUUCC
rnacentral:lncRNA from 1 species